GCAAUCGACCAUUGGAUAUAGAAAACAGGACUUCCCGUUCGCUCAGUCGUACUUAAGCUAUAUGCCGGCUUGUUAGUAGUAAAGUGGGUGACCAUUUGCGAAUCCGGGCUGUUGAUUGUU
rfam:Exophiala mesophila strain CBS 40295 unplaced genomic scaffold supercont1.3, whole genome shotgun sequence.